GGCUCUCUCCGGAUGAGGUGUCUCUCCUGCUGUGCCCCCAGGGCCUGUGUUUUGGAAACUCCAGCAAGCCAGCCCAGCAGGCCCUUUCGGGUGAGGAAGGCACCCCAGGAACUACAGGUGCUCCUCAGAAGAGUCAAGAAAGAGGGGUCAACUCUAAGCCCCUGAAAGAGCCCGACUUUGCAUUUCUAUUUCACAAGCUUACAGUUCUGAGUAAUUGUACUGGAGGGCUGUAGAGCCAAAGGCAAUUCAUGUGCAAAUCUAGGCUUCUUCAGGCGUGAGAUUUCAUCCGGUUUACACCAGAUGACCUGCCUCUGUCAUGUCUCACUCUGUCUGCAAUGAAGGAGGAGAAAAAUCUGCGCCUCUUUCUCUCAAGGGAUACUUUGUCUCUGGGGUACUUUCUGACCCAGUGGACCCCUGGCAGAAGUAAGCGUGGACUGUGGCUGCAGGACCACGCAGAGUCAACACGAACCGAAGCCAGGCCUUGGCCACGGCAGCUCUGGGGUCCAACCACUUGAUCAAUGCAGGAAAUGCUUUGAUGGCAGAAUUCUUCCAUGGCCAGCUUCUCAUAUUCUCUGGGACAGACACAAACCAAGAAAAAUGAGUGUGGCGCAGAAUCUGAUGUGUCCUUCCUUACCCCGUGCUGGUAGCAAAAAGUAUGUCUUGAACUUUUCUUUGUUACACACAGUCUGGGUAAUAACAGACUGAAGGAAAACUAAAGAAGCUUGGGAGGCUAAGUUCAAUGACAAAUGAAGAACUAAGGCAGAGAAAAAAGAGAAUUGAGAAAGUGUCUGGGUGUCUGGAGAGGUUGGGGGAAUAGAGAGGGAGGAGAUAUAAUUGGCCAGAUAACUUGAGAGUGGGAGAGGAGUGCAAACAUUAUUUUUGAGGCGCUUUGUUGGAUAUUUAAAAUGCACUCCUACCUUUGGCAUUUUCUCAAAAGGCAAGAAAGAUUUGUUUUCAAUUCUAUUUUUCUGCUGGACUGAACCAGUGCCAAGACUGGACCAUGUAGGAUCCUGGGUUUAUUUCAGUUACAUAAGCAAACGUUGCUGUGAUUUGGAAUAGUCAAAGUCAUGAAUGUUUCUCAACUUCCAUUUUGUCAGCUGCUUGAGUUUCUAUUCUGAGAGGUGCUAACUGUGAACAUUGUUAUUCACUUGUGUUCCCUAAAUCACUUUUAAUUAGUUUUAAUUUGAACCAAGAAUGUUCUACUGUUGAAACUAUGUCAAGAAUGAUCAAAAAUGAAAUUAAUAAAGAAUUCGCGUCAAAAAAAAUUUGCACUAAUAUUACAGUAUUUUAUAAUGUCUAUCUCAGCAGAGUCACAGAUAAUUUAGAAUUUUUAAUUUUGUUUUUAAGUGAUUUUCCUCAAAGCUAUAAUAGCCUUGGUAAAGAGUUUAGUUAAACAUUAUUUUUCACCUCUCACGCAUUUUGUGUAAUGAAAUUUUUCUAUCAUCUUCCAGUGGAAUUAAUUGCAUUGGUGCAAAAAAUGCAAUCAAAUCGAUGACUGAAUUUAGCCUUUGAAACCUCACGUCUAGCUGGGAUAGUUACUAUAUUCAUUACAUACUGAAAAAUGAUAAGCAGUAAGCUUUUCUGCUAAAAAACUGCCAAAGAUAAGUUUUUCAAGGCUCUCAAAAUAUCCUAAAGCUGACAAUACAAGAAAUGUUAAAAUAUUGUUGGAAUUUUUAACGGAAUCUUCCUUCUCUUCUUUUCCUGUUUAAGACAAUAGUAGUUAGUUGUCCACUAAUCGUUAAUACACGAUUUUCUAACAAAGACUUGCAUAUCCUUUUGGCUAAAAAGUGGCCAAAUAUCAGAGAGCUAGAAGUUUGGGAGACAGCCUUUAGUCUUUUCCAAAGCAUGUAAGCCCUUUUGAAUCAUUUUGGGUAAAUGGCGAAGAUUAAACAGAAUUCAUAAAGGGUUUCUGAUACAUAAGUGGAAUGUGCCUGUGAGGACACUACACAUGACAAUAAUCUAAGCAUGCUCUCUUUUAGUCCCAAAACGUGUAGAGUAAUGUCACAUGAAAUUUACAGGAGGCCAUUGACUUGGACUGAGCUCCUGCACCAGGCCUAACAGACCAAACCAAAAUGGAGUCACUCAUGCUGAAGUUCACACCACCAAGCCAAAACUGAGUUGUUUAUCCGAUCUUCCAAGAAAUCAAGAAAGACAGGGAGAUAACAGCCCAAUCCCCAAACAGGCCAGUUUUUGCUGGCAUGAUAGGAAGGCCCCUCUGCUUCAAACUUUCCAAAGAAAGUAACUUGGAAACAACCAAUCUGCUUUUUGUUCUCCGUUUCUGCUUUCCUCAACCAUUUUCUGACCAUAAAACCAACAUCCUUUGCUCGGCUCAUGGGAACAUUCAUUCUAUUUUGUAGAAUGAGGUGUUGCCCGAUAUUCUAGAUUUGCAAAUAAAAGCCAAUUAAGAUCUUUAAAUUAAAUCUGUUGUAACUUUGUCUUUUGACACUAAUAAAUGCACGAACAGGUUUCUUUAGAGAAAGCCCGUGAUAUGCAGGGUAUGUUUGACAAGUGCUGUGGUCAAAUGUGAUACUGUUUACAUUCUCAUUUUCAUAAUUUUCUUAAGUACUAUGUAAUUUGGUCUUGGGAAUGCUUCGCUAAUUACGGGUGAGGAGGAUGGGCCUUGUAUGUGACAGAAUGAUUUAGUGUUCUGUAGUUCAGUGGAAAGAGUGUAGAUGUGUUGAAUAUUUAUGACGUUUUACCUUCUCUCUUUGUUACAGAGGCCUUACAACAAAUUAAAACAUGUGUGUCAGCUCCCUAAUUAUCUAGCUAGACUUUUAAAGAUUGGCUAGUUAAGGCUGAAUUUUAUUCAAGCACUACUUCAUCUGUCAUACUAUUUUAAGUACAUUAGCCUUGUUAGCCUAUUAUAUGGCCAUGAUCAGUACUGUUUAAAUUGCCAACUUCUACAAGUCCCUUCUGUGUGCUCUGGCUCAAUCAAUGCAUUAGUGGUACUAGCUUAGUUUUGUCACAGUUCUGGGCACAUUGGCAGUCCCCGGGUGGGAGGCCUGGAGCUCCUGAGUAAACAUAGUGCAUCUGCCUGGAGCUUCAAUUUUACUUGAGGAUUUGGAAAAAUAUAAAUUAAUCGAUUUAACCAUUUAUUUAAUGUGCUCCAAUUCUUUAUUUAAUUGGCUGCAAAGCAAACAAAAUUAUGCAUUAGCUAUGUUAUGACUAAAACCCAAAUGUUGUUGAAUACUUUCAGUGAUAGAAUAACAGCGUGUAAACCCAGAAGUAUGACUGCUUAGCUGUCAGAUUUCCAGCCAGAAACCGGCUGAGAAAAAAAUGUGAUGACACUCAUCCUGAGAAGUGUUGGGACGGAGCCUCACCUGGCUUCUGGGUGAGGCAGUCCAAAGCCUACUCCCAUCUCAUGUCAAAGUCCCCUGUCAUUGCAUAGGAACUCCAGGGACUGUUCAAGAAGGAACAGGAAGCCUCCAACCCAAGGGAAGGGGACUCAUCCUGUUGUCAGGUGAGAUCCUGAGAAGCAUGGGUGAGCUCAGCAUGGGCGGGGCCAUUGAGGAAGUUCCUCUUUCCUCAGCUAAGCCGCACUGGCCAGGAGGUCCCUGAGUCCUGAGAGCAUCCUCCCAGAGCUGUCCAGGUUACUCUCCAGACCUGGUCGUGGCACCUCUCAGCUCCUGGUGCCUGAGUCCCUGCCUUUGACUAGGAUCACCAUUUAUCACCCCCCACUGCACCCAUUGCCCCUCACCUGCCCAGUGUGGUGACACAGUCUUGCUCAGGUCCAGUCCUAGUCCUGUGAGAGAGUUUCUGCCCUUGACUUUGGUCCACAUUUCCAGUUCCUGUCUUUAUGUGGUCCACUGCCAGGACUAUAGACGAGUUCAACCAAUGAACAAUAUAAAGUUUGAUCUUUCUGUGAAAAUAAAUAUGAAUGCAAAAUUCACAUGAAUGCUUAAAAUAUCAGACCUCAAAGAUGAGUGCUGUCUAUCUGUGGCCCCUUUGAGCAAUCCCUGUGCCCCUGGAGGAUGCAUUCAUCCGCUGCUGUUACAGCGCCACCAGCAGUCACUUUUGAGGAGUGCAGCUCCAAGGGAUGACGGUAUAAGGGGAAGAAUUCAGCCAAAGUGAGAUGUCCUCCAGCAAAAUCAGAGACAGUGCCCUUCAGAGGGCUCGUGUCCUGCUGGAAUUGGGAAAUUCCAUAAGGCUGCAGAUAUUCAGCCUCCUAACUGAACUCUAUGCAAUGCCUUUAUCCCCUCCUCCCGAUCUGUGCAAAAUAUCAAAGGAAUAAAACCUGUUUUCUUUCUUAGUGGUUGCACCAAUUUUGUGCAGUCUGGUUCUUUUCUGUUUUUCUGUAAAAUUGUUUUCAGAAG
rnacentral:lncRNA from 1 species